AAUUGGUGUGCUUUGUCCAAGGAUCAAGGAAACGCUAUAAUCAUUCCUGGUGACAUAGGACUGGGAAGAACCAAGUGACCAUAGAUGUCAAAUUCUGCCAUUUUGAUCUCUCCUGAGAUAAGCAGCAACCAUGCCUGGAAGAUGUAAAAGUUUGGAUUCUGUUGGCCAUUUGUAUGGAUUCUGGGGAAACAAAAAACUAUGUUGAUAGAGAACUUUUCUCCUUUGUGUGGAGGAGAGUUUGGAGGCUGGAAGCUGUUGAAGGAGACCCACAGAUUGCUGGGAAUCAAACCCCUGCCUCACAUAUACUGGGCAUGUGCUGUAUCACUGAGCCAUAUCCCAAGCCCUAAAACUGAUUUUUUAAAAACUUAUCAUAUAAGACAAUUACUUGGUUUUUAAAUACAUUAGCAAUACAUUUAAUUAAGUAUGGAUGAAAUAUGAGGGGGUGAGUGUGUGUGUUCGUGCAUAUUACUAAAAUGAAUUUUUAACCAACAAAAAAAGGAGAUUUAAAGACUAAUGCUUUAUUUUAUAAUUUUUAAUUCUUUGAAAUUUUAUACAAAAUGGAUGGUGAUAAUAUAGCAGUUGAACUCUUUCUGAAAAUACUAAAUUUGCUAAAGGAAUUAAAAAUAUUCAAGAUAUAAUAUUACUAAUGUGAUCUAUUAAAAUAACAAACACUACCCAAAACAAUAAUAUCACUGCAUAUUUACAAGCACUUCUUUCAUUUUUCUAAUGUAGAUUCCUUGUACUUAUUGUUGUUUCAUUGGCUUCCCUUUUAAAAUCAUAAGGAUUGAAGGAAUUAUAUCAAUUGUAUUUACAUUAAAAGUCUGACAUGACUAAGAAGCGUUGAUUUCUAUGUAACCUACUUCUUUGGGAAAAAUUCAAGAACAUACAUCAAUUGUCAUUCUGAACCUACUUACUGGCAAAAGCAUUCUAAGUUCUGGAUAGAAAGCAUUGACCAUCUGUUUUAUGAGCCAUAUCCCUUCAAUUAAGCAAGCAUUCUAAAAUCAAGAGACAGCAUCAGAUAUACAGACAUUUUUACAUUGGCUAUUUGGGGAUUAGCAUCGAUCCACUCUGGUCCAUAUUCUCUUCACAUGCUGCCUUUUUCUUUAUUUAACCUUGACUGUAUGUGAUAGAAAAGAAAGCUGGAGCACAGCAAUGGUAUUAGGCUUCAGGUUCCAGCAGGUUGUGGAGUUGGAAGUGUCUGUCAUAUUCUUUCUCUGGAGGGACCUUUAAAGAAAACAAGAUUCUUUCACUGGGUCUGACAGACGUUGAGUAUUGAAACAAUGGUAUUUUCUUAAUUAUUAUCUGAAGUUAGAAAGAUCUGGGAAUAAGUUGGAGUUGAGGAAAAAAUUUAAGAACAAAACUAUUUAUCUCAUCCACUUUGAUUACACUUCCUCCUUUCCCAAGCCUCUUCUCCCUGGAAGUCCUGCUGAAAAACGCAAACAUCUAUCUCACUUGAGUUUUACAAGAAACAGUAGAACAAAAUGUCAAUGGAGUAAAUAGGCAGAAAGUGGAGAAUAGGAAGAAGCUGAUUUUGUUAUUAUAGAACCUGUUGAUGUGUACUCACUCAAGGUCUUCAACUUUACACAUUCCAUUUGCUUCUGCCUACUUUUACCUUUGGAAUAAUGUCUCACACUCUUGCUCGGAACUUAUUUCUUUUUAUAAGUAGCUCUUUUUAAUUGUUAUCAGAGGAGUGACAAGACACUUGUCAACUAAAUUUUGUCUUUUCUUCAUAAGUUUCUGCUUUGGAAAAAACUCAUAAAUUCUGAUUUUAUCUGGUUGGAUGUACAGUCUCUAUUUUUGUCUAAACGGGGAUAUCAUCCAUUUUCAUCUUAUGGAUGCCACACAGGCAUGUAUGCUUAAGAUGAGCAAAACUUUUUACUAGUAGAGCUAUCAUUUACAUUCUUUUUCUUUUAAUUUUUAUUUUUUGAUACUGGGGAUUGAACCCAGGGGCACUAACCACUGAGUUAUAUCCCCAGUCUUUUUUAUUGUAUUAUUAUUUUUUUUUUUAAUUUUGAGACAUGGUUUUACUAAGUUGCUGAUGGUCUUGCUAAAUUGCUGAGGCUGGUCUUGAAUUUGCAAUGCUCCUGCCUCAACCUCCUGAGUUGCUGGAAUUAAGGUUGUGUACCACAUUUCCCAACUACAUUGUUUAGGAUUCUGUACAGUACCUCCCAAUAAACAGAAUCAUCAUAGCAAUUCUGGUCAGAUGGCUGUUCCCAGAAAGGUAUCUUUAGAAUUAAACCUGUGAAGGUAAAGGGAAAAUAAAUCAUAUUGUGAGGCUGAAGAGGAAAUAGUAAUUAAAACACUGUUACAAAAUCACCUCCUUAAACUGACAUAAUUAUUUUACAGCCAGAAGCUUAGAAUACUCUGAAUUUACCAUUUGACUUGCUUAUUAACCAGCUAUUAUCCAGAGACCAUAGGGUACAGGGAAGUACUGACUUUUUUACUCACCUGUAAGAAUACCUCCAACAAUUGCUGUUCCAAUGGAAGAACCCAAGGCAGCUGCUUGCAUGGCUAUGGUAGACCUAAGAAGACAAACAAAAGAAUUUUGUUUUUCCUGGAUACCAGCCAAGGAAUCUCACCUGCUGACAGUGGGGGAUCCUGCCAUCUUCAGGACAGAGUCCAGAAUUACACGCCAGCAAACAGACCAAUAUUUUUCUUUUGUACCUUUAAUUUCUUUGAGACUUUUGAGUAGUGGUAGAAAAUUCUUAAAUAAACUUAAGAAUCAUCUUUUGAUGCAUCUUCAGGAAUGAUAAGAAGGUCUUCCCUAGAAAGAGUUUAGCACUCUCAAAAAUUGAUCCCUGUUUUAAUUUAUUCAAUAAAUAUUUAUUAAGUA